AGACAUUCACGCUUUUUGUGCAAAGAAAAAAUUGUUUAAUGAAACGUUUUCAAUUCCAUUUUCUAUGAUCCUAAGUUUAACAAAUUGACCCCUGAUGAACAUAAUUUGUUUCUACAAAGUCUCUGUAAAAACAAAAGUUUUAUAAACUGUGUGGGGGUUCAUUCAUUAGAUACCAAAUCCAAAUCAAUAGAGAAUUAAAUUCCAAGAUUUGACCUGUGACUAUACACAGUUGGAGAAUUUCCCAAAUCAGCUAUUUUUGUCCCAAAUUUAGCAAUUUAGCUUUUAUUGAGUACAUUUCAGUGCUUAGCAAAC